UACGUAGGGUGCGAGCGUUGUCCGGAUUUAUUGGGCGUAAAGGGCUCGUAGGCGGCGUGUCGCGUCGGGAGUGAAAGACCGGGGCUUAACCCCGGUUCUGCUUCCGGUACGGGCAUGCUGGAGUGUGGCAGGGGAGAGUGGAAUUCCUGGUGUAGCGGUGAAAUGCGCAGAUAUCAGGAAGAACACCCGUGGCUAAGGCGGCUCUCUAGUACGGUACUGACGCUGAGACGCGAAAGCGUGGGGAGCGAACAGG
rnacentral:rRNA from 1 species